GGGAACGUACUAGUGAUUUCAUGACCUUUUCUGAUUUCCUAUCAGGUAGUCGACAGAACAGUGCGCAAUGCAUGACUGAUAACUGAAAGUGACCUUGGCCUUGCCUCCAGAAACAUUUGGUGAGCCCUUUCUAGGUGUCCAGAUCGGUUCUAGUUUCUGGAGAAACAGCAGGAAAUACGACAUCGCUCACAUCCUCAUGAGUCAGUACGCCAGUUCUGACCAACUAACGUAAUCCAGAAGAACGUGUAUCCCAUAAAGAGAGCAUCCUCGUGAGUUGAGUAUCAUUAUCAUAUCCAAUAUAGAGGGAAACUGUCUCACGUAACGGGAAUCAAGUUGGUGGCUCAUGGUCACGGAGCUGAGACGUAGCUGAACAGAUUUAAACAGAUGGAUGUGACCACCAUCUCGCCAGAGUCUCUAUGACGGGCAUCAUCACCAGCAGCAUCAGCAAAAUCUCUAAGCUACAGUCAGACAGUUUAUACUGGCAUAAAGAUAGAUACGUAGAUCGUCAUCUUCGCCAUCAAAAUGGAGAAUGGCUCCUCAGGGACCAGUAAGGAAAUGACAAACAACCCAACAGGAAAAUAAAUAAACACACAAACACA